GGUGCGGUACCCAAGCAGAUAAGGGAGCGGUCUGCAAAACCGUUAUUCGCCGGUGCAAAUCCGGCCCGCACCU
rnacentral:tRNA from 1 species